rnacentral:miRNA from 1 species
AGAAAGGGUCGUUGUCCUGCU